GCCCCACACCGGGUGAGGGGGUUCCCGCAGGAAGGUAGUAAAGCCGGAUAUUGAUGUUUAAGGUUGAUGGAGUGACGUAAAAGCGGUCCACUCACAAGAUGUCCCGGCCCAGAAUGCCAGAGGCCAGGUGCUGCCGCCGCCCUAGGCGUGCCAAGGAACAGAGGCGAGCAGGCAA